AUAAUUCUAUAAUUACCGGUGUUAAGAACAGACGGUAAGUGUAAUAGCUAAGGAAUGGACAGAACGUCUCGUAAAAACUCUUGUAUACGGUACGUAAACGCAAGUCUGUGUGAAGAUUGUGAUUGGAAAUGUCAGACAGGGAAACGGCAGGCGCUACGCUGGUGUUACACUGAACAAUACUCCGAGUGCGGAUUGUGUAUGGAAUUUUCCUGGUGAGAUAACGGGUUUAACUGACGCGCGUUUUCCGGUUUUACUCGGGCGUUU